rnacentral:pre_miRNA from 1 species
UGGUAGACUGGAACAAGAAGCUGAACUUAAGUUCCUGUUAUGGUCCUCCACC